AGAGUUUGAUCAUGGCUCAGAAUGAACGCUGGCGGCGUGCCUAACACAUGCAAGUCGGAUGUGCCCGCAAGGGUGCAUGGCAGACGGGUGAGUAACGCGUGGGGAAUCUACCUCUUUGUGGGGAAUAACGCUCCGAAAGGAGUGGUAAUACCGCAUGAGACCAACGGCUGGAAUGCUGUUGGUGAAACCUGGGGACCGCAAGGCCUGGGGCAAGGAGAGGAUCCUGCGUCUGAUUAGCUAGUUGGCGGGGUAACGGCCCACCAAGGCAACGAUCAGUAGCCGGCCUGAGAGGGUGAUCGGCCACACUGGAACUGAGACACGGUCCAGACUCCUACGGGAGGCAGCAGUGGGGAAUUUUGCGCAAUGGGCGAAAGCCUGACGCAGCAACGCCGCGUGGGUGAUGAAGGUCUUCGGAUCGUAAAACCCUGUCGUCGGGGACGAAGGUAGCUUAGUUAACAGCUGAGUUGCUUGACGGUACCCGGAGAGGAAGCCCCGGCUAACUCUGUG
rnacentral:rRNA from 1 species